rnacentral:rRNA from 1 species
UACAGAGGUCUCAAGCGUUGUUCGGAUUCAUUGGGCGUAAAGGGUGCGUAGGUGGCGCCGUAAGUCGGGUGUGAAAUUUCGGAGCUUAACUCCGAAACUGCAUUCGAUACUGCGGUGCUUGAGGACUGGAGAGGAGACUGGAAUUCAUGGUGUAGCAGUGAAAUGCGUAGAGAUCAUGAGGAAGACCAGUGGCGAAGGCGGGUCUCUGGACAGUUCCUGACACUGAGGCUCGAAAGCGUGGGGAGCAAACAGG